UACACAUACAUUCAUAGUCUUACGCUACAAGAGUCUAUCCGAACUUCUAUCCGAAAUAGACAACAUAGAAUACCUUUAGCGUUAUGGGCAGCACUGGUCUAGAAACAGCCGAAAUCAUAAAUAUGAGCACUUUCAUUUCCUUGAUAAUAAUAAAGGUGUCAAAUAUGUCAUGAAGAAACAGAUGGAAAAACCUACGUUAGAAGAAAAUCACGACCAGGCAUCCAUAGAUGACUUGAGUGCCUUUCUUCGCGUCCCCAAGAUCCAUUUGACCAACAGUUCAUAACGACAUA
rnacentral:lncRNA from 1 species